GACGAACGCUGGCGGCGUGCCUAAUACAUGCAAGUAGGACGCAGUUGCGAACGGGUGAGUAACGCGUAGGUAACUACCUAUUAGAGGGGGAUAACUAUUGGAAACGAUAGCUAAUACCGCAUACUAGAAGAUGGACCUGCGUUGUAUUAGGUAGUAGGUAGGGUAAUGGCCUACCUAGGCAACGAGAACUAGCCGACCUGAGCGGUUGUGCGGCCUCACUGGGCCUGGGACACGCCCCAGACUCCUACGGGAGGCAGCAGUAGGGAAUCUUCUGCAAUGGGGGGAACCUUGACCGAGCAACGCCGCGUGCGUGAAGAAGGUUUUCGGAUCCUAAAGCUCUGUUGUUAAGGAAGCGGUACUUAACCAGAAAGGGACGGCUAACUACGUGCCAGCAGCCGCGGUAAUUC
rnacentral:rRNA from 1 species